rnacentral:rRNA from 1 species
GAUGAACGCUGGCGGCGUGCCUAAUACAUGCAAGUCGAGCGAACAGACGAGGAGCUUGCUCCUCUGACGUUAGCGGCGGACGGGUGAGUAACACGUGGAUAACCUACCUAUAAGACUGGGAUAACUUCGGGAAACCGGAGCUAAUACCGGAUAAUAUAUUGAACCGCAUGGUUCAAUAGUGAAAGACGGUUUUGCUGUCACUUAUAGAUGGAUCCGCGCCGCAUUAGCUAGUUGGUAAGGUAACGGCUUACCAAGGCGACGAUGCGUAGCCGACCUGAGAGGGUGAUCGGCCACCCUGGAACUGAACCACGGUCCAGACUCCUACGGGAGGCAGCAGUAGGGAAUCUUCCGCAAUGGGCGAAAGCCUGACGGAGCAACGCCGCGUGAGUGAUGAAGGUCUUCGGAUCUUAAAACUCUGUUAUUAGGGAAGAACAAAUGUGUAAGUAACUAUGCACGUCUUGACGGUACCUAAUCAGAAAGCCACGGCUAACUACGUG